AAGUCGUAACAAGGUUUCCGUAGGUGAACCUGCGGAAGGAUCAUUACCGAGUGAGGGCCCUCUGGGUCCAACCUCCCACCCGUGUUUAUUUUACCUUGUUGCUUCGGCGAGCCUGCCUUCGGGCUGCCGGGGGGCAUCUGCCCCCGGGUCCGCGCUCGCCGGAGACACCUUGAACUCUGUCUGAAGAUUGUAGUCUGAGACAAAAUAUAAAUUAUUUAAAACUUUCAACAACGGAUCUCUUGGUUCCG
rnacentral:misc_RNA from 1 species